UACGAAGGGGGCUAGCGUUGUUCGGAAUUACUGGGCGUAAAGCGCACGUAGGCGGCUUUGUAAGUUAGAGGUGAAAGCCCGGGGCUCAACUCCGGAAUUGCCUUUAAGACUGCAUCGCUAGAAUUGUGGAGAGGUAAGUGGAAUUCCGAGUGUAGAGGUGAAAUUCGUAGAUAUUCGGAAGAACACCGGUGGCGAAGGCGACUUACUGGACACAUAUUGACGCUGAGGUGCGAAAGCGUGGGGAGCAAACAGG
rnacentral:rRNA from 1 species